GGCUUAACACAUGCAAGUCGAGGGGCAGCAUGGUCUUAGCUUGCUAAGGCCGAUGGCGACCGGCGCACGGGUGAGUAACACGUAUCCAACCUGCCGUCUACUCUUGGACAGCCUUCUGAAAGGAAGAUUAAUACAAGAUGGCAUCAUGAGUCCGCAUGUUCACAUGAUUAAAGGUAUUCCGGUAGACGAUGGGGAUGCGUUCCAUUAGAUAGUAGGCGGGGUAACGGCCCACCUAGUCUUCGAUGGAUAGGGGUUCUGAGAGGAAGGUCCCCCACAUUGGAACUGAGACACGGUCCAAACUCCUACGGGAGGCAGCAGUGAGGAAUAUUGGUCAAUGGGCGAGAGCCUGAACCAGCCAAGUAGCGUGAAGGAUGACUGCCUUAUGGGUUGUAAACUUCUUUUAUAAAGGAAUAAAGUCGGGUAUGGAUACCCGUUUGCAUGUACUUUAUGAAUAAGGAUCGGCUAACUCCGUGCCAGCAGCCGCGGUAAUACGGAGGAUUCGAGCGUUAUCCGGAUUUAUUGGGUUUAAAGGGAGCGUAGAUGGAUGUUUAAGUCAGUUGUGAAAGUUUGCGGCUCAACCGUAAAAUUGCAGUUGAUACUGGAUAUCUUGAGUGCAGUUGAGGCAGGCGGAAUUCGUGGUGUAGCGGUGAAAUGCUUAGAUAUCACGAAGAACUCCGAUUGCGAAGGCAGCCUGCUAAGCUGCAACUGACAUUGAGGCUCGAAAGUGUGGGUAUCAAACAGGAUUAGAUACCCUGGUAGUCCACACGGUAAACGAUGAAUACUCGCUGUUUGCGAUAUACGGCAAGCGGCCAAGCGAAAGCGUUAAGUAUUCCACCUGGGGAGUACGCCGGCAACGGUGAAACUCAAAGGAAUUGACGGGGGCCCGCACAAGCGGAGGAACAUGUGGUUUAAUUCGAUGAUACGCGAGGAACCUUACCCGGGCUUAAAUUGCAGAUGAAUUACGGUGAAAGCCGUAAGCCGCAAGGCAUCUGUGAAGGUGCUGCAUGGUUGUCGUCAGCUCGUGCCGUGAGGUGUCGGCUUAAGUGCCAUAACGAGCGCAACCCUUGUUGUCAGUUACUAACAGGUUCUGCUGAGGACUCUGACAAGACUGCCAUCGUAAGAUGUGAGGAAGGUGGGGAUGACGUCAAAUCAGCACGGCCCUUACGUCCGGGGCUACACACGUGUUACAAUGGGGGGUACAGAGGGCCGCUACCACGCGAGUGGAUGCCAAUCCCAAAAACCUCUCUCAGUUCGGACUGGAGUCUGCAACCCGACUCCACGAAGCUGGAUUCGCUAGUAAUCGCGCAUCAGCCACGGCGCGGUGAAUACGUUCCCGGGCCUUGUACACACCGCCCGUCAAGCCAUGGGAGCCGGGGGUACCUGAAGUGCGUAACCGCGAGGAGCGCCCUAGGGUAAAACUGGUGACUGGGGCUAAAA
rnacentral:rRNA from 1 species